rnacentral:rRNA from 1 species
UGAGCAAUCUGCCCUUCACAUCGGAAUAACCAUUGGAAACGAUGGCUAAUACCGAAUAUGACUUCGGAUCGCAUGAUCUGAAGUGGAAAGCUCCGGCGGUGAAGGAUGAGCUCGCGGCCUAUCAGCUUGUUGGUGGGGUGAUGGCCUACCAAGGCGACGACGGGUAGCCGGCCUGAGAGGGUGUCCCGGCCACACGUGGGACUGAGAUACCGGCCCAGACUCCGUAACGGG